rnacentral:lncRNA from 1 species
AGAGAGAGGGGUUGAAAAUGUAAGUGAAGACACUUGCCAGUUGGGUAAAGCUCUCGCCAGUUCGAACAACGCGACUCUAACCAGAGCAUAACGGACCUAUUAUUUUAUUUUGAUUUUUGAUUUUUUUAUCCCCGGAUUCCCACCGGAUUCCCACCGCAAACAGAACAUUUUCAGCUGGAUCUUCACAACUAGCUAACUAGCUAACCGCAACCCCGGAUGAUUACUCCUGGCUAGCGUUUCCACCCACUUAGCUUGAAGCUAGCCCGGCCAGAGCUCCUGUGCUACCACCGAAGCAUACUYCUGGGCUACAAUAUCCGGACCCAYGACCGGUCUAUCGAUGUCACCGCAUGAAGAGGCAUAAACAGACUCACCCCAUCGCAACGCCCCCCAAAGGCUAACUUUCUAGCCCUUGCUAUCUCUUUGCUUGCUAAUUCGGUCUGCUAACUGCUAGCUUGUUUAGCCCCGGUCCGCUAACUGCUAGCUUGUUUAGCCCCGGUCCGCUAACUGCUACCUUGUUUAGCCCCGGCCUACUAAAUGUUAGCUUGUUAGCACAGGCCUGCUAACCGUCUGAAUCGCCGCGUCCCAAACACUCACUGGACCCAUAUUUACUUUCAAUCUCUUUUCGAUUUUUAAUUUGUUUAUACCUUCCGGUAACCUGCCUCACCCAAUGUGAUACGGAAUCGCUAUUAUUUUUAAUUUUUAGAACACACUCAAGAACCUCCAGAAGCUAACCAGCUAACUAGCUACAAGCUAUUUAGUCAUUGUUAGCCAGUGCUAGCGGCUUUUACCUUUUACCUUCUGCACAGCCAGCCAGUUUUUUAACCUGGAUAAUACUCGCCAGUCCAGCUUCCCUGCCCCAUCCACCGCUGCCCCCUGGACACUGAUCACUUGGCUACAUAGCUGAUGCAUGCUGGACUGUCCAUUAAUCACGAUGAGCAACAUGAGGACCAGCCAAAAAGACCUGGGUUGGUUUGUUUGGACAGGAUUCCGGAGGAUUUAAGGAUGAUCCCGCUGCUUUCCGGAGGAGGGGCAGGGAACAGGAUGCAGCGGCUGCAAAACUCCCCAGAACACAUGAGUACUGUUUACACCAAACCUCUCUGUC